rnacentral:rRNA from 1 species
UACGUAGGGGGCAAGCGUUGUCCAGAUUUAUUGGGCGUAAAGAGCGUGUAGGCGGCCAUACAGGUCCGUUGUGAAAACUGGAGGCUUAACCUCCAGACGUCGAUGGAAACCGUAUGGCUAGAGUCCGGAAGAGGAGAGUGGAAUUCCUGGUGUAGCGGUGAAAUGCGCAGAUAUCAGGAAGAACACCCGUGGCGAAGGCGGCUCUCUGGGACGGUACUGACGCUGAGACGCGAAAGCGUGGGGAGCGAACAGG